UAAAAGUGUAACAAGGUUUCCGUAGGUGAACCUGCGGAAGGAUCAUUA
rnacentral:rRNA from 1 species